AUUGAACGCUGGCGGCAGGCCUAACACAUGCAAGUCGAGCGGAUGAAGGGAGCUUUCUCCUGGAUUCAGCGGCGGACGGGUGAGUAAUGCCUAGGAAUCUGCCUGGUAGUGGGGGAUAACGUCCGUAAACGGGCGCUAAUACCGCAUACGUCCUUAUGUAGAAAGUGGGGGAUCUUCGGACCUCACGCUAUCAGAUGAGCCUAGGUCGUAUUAGCUAGUUGGUUGGGUAAAGGCCUACCAAGGCGACGAUCCGUAACUGUUCUGAGAGGAUGAUCAGUCACACUGGAACUGAGACACGGUCCAGACUCCUACGGGAGGCAGCAGUGGGGAAUAUUGGACAAUGGGCGAAAGCCUGAUGCAGCCAUGCCGCGUGUGUGAAGAAGGUCUUCGGAUUGUAAAGCACUUUAAGUUGGGAGGAAGGGCAGUAAGUUAAUCCCUUGCUGUUUUGACGUUACCAACAGAAUAAGCACCGGCUAACUUCGUG
rnacentral:rRNA from 1 species